CGAGGAGCAGGUCAGCCGGGCCAACCAGCACAAAGAGCAACAGCUGGCCCUGAAGCAGCAGAUCGAGAGCGAGGUGGCAAACCUGAAGAAGACUAUUAAAGUGACAACAGCAGCUGCUGCAGCAGCCACAUCCCAAGACCCAGAGCAGCACCUCACGGAGCUCAGGGAGCCAGCCCCUGGCACCAACCAGCGCCAGACGAGCAAGAAAACCUCCAAAGCCAAAGGGCUCCGGGGCAGCGCGAAGAUUUGGUCUAAAUCAAACUAGUUGGAUCUCCCUUCACAACUGGGAGGGUGAGAGGAAGAGAUUUGGGGGAUGGAGGGGGUAGCAGGGGUCCCAAGUGUGAUGCUUCUGAGCUCUUCUCUGAGAUCCAUCUUUCCAACUAACUCUCCUGCAUGUUUGUUCUCUUUUCCUUUCUUCUUUAUCGAUGUUUCAGGCAGUGUCUCCCUCCUUUUCAUCACAGCAUUUCACACUCUGAGCUUCAGGUUGUACACAUUGCUGUUUCCCCAGCCGCUCAAGCCCCCGUCGCCACGGCCACCUCUUUCUCUCUUUCUCUCUUUCUCUCUUUCUCUCUCCCUGUCUUUUGACAGGUCAAUUUUAGGAGCCAUAAAGGUGUGACAGUCACCUUGGCACCCCCAGGGCAUCACAGUAUCUUGGAAAGAGGGUGCUGGUGCUCAGCAGUUGUUUUGGCUCUAUGAGACCCCUGGGAUACUUUGCUCCAGGACACCGUCUUUGAUUGUUUAAUCUUUGUUUUGCUAGGUGGGAGGGUAGUUUUUGAAGGGGUUCUUUUAAAAAAUAUAUAAAUAUAUUAUAAAUAUAUAUAAAACAAUAAAAAUAUAGAUCUAUGGACAUAUCUAUACAAACCUGUGCUCCUGUGAAUGGUGUCUCUUUGCCUUGUAUGCUGAUUCUGGAGGUUCCAAAAUAAGCUGUGAUAUUAAGAGCUUCUGUCCCAUUUUAGGGUGGAAUAUCCUCAAAAUACUAGGUUCCCUUUUCAGAGGUAGUGCCACAGUAUCUCUAUUGGGAUGAUAGUCUGUAAAACGGAAAUUAACCAUAAAUCUUUUUUAAAUUG